CCUACGGGAGGCAGCAGUGAGGAAUAUUGGUCAAUGGCCGGAAGGCUGAACCAGCCAUGCCGCGUGAAGGUCAGUGCCCUAUGGGCGUUAAACUUCUUUUGUGCGGGAGCAAUAAUGGUCACGUGUGGCCAGACGAGAGUACCGUACGAAUAAGCAUCGGCUAACUCCGUGCCAGCAGCCGCGGUAAUACGGGGGAUGCAAGCGUUAUCCGGAUUUAUUGGGUUUAAAGGGUGCGUAGGCUGUGAGGUAAGUCAGCGGUGAAAUGCCCCCGCUCAACGGGGUGAAGUGCCAUUGAUACUGCCUGGCUGGAGUGCGGAUGCGGUGGGAGGAAUGUGUGGUGUAGCGGUGAAAUGCAUAGAUAUCACACAGAACACCGAUUGCGAAGGCAUCUCACGAAUCCGCGAUUGACGCUGAUGCACGAAAGCGUGGGUAUCAAACAGGAUUAGAUACCCUAGUAGUC
rnacentral:rRNA from 1 species